rnacentral:lncRNA from 1 species
GGGUCCUUGACUGCCUUUUCUUUCACUUCCGCGUCUUUCGACUCUUUGCCUGCCGCAUUCUCUUUCGUUUUUACAUCUUUUGAGUCCUUCCCUGGCUUCUUCGCUUCGCCAUGUUUGGAUUCUUUCCCUGCCUCCCCUUUCACUUCCAGGUCUUUGGACUCUUUCCCUGCCUUCUCUUUCGUUUUUACAUCUUUUGAGUCCUUCCCGGGCUUCUCUUUCAUUUCCACAUCUUUGGAUUCUUUCACUGACUUAUCUUUCAUUUUUACAUCUUUGGACUCCUUCCCUAUCUUCUCUUUCAUUUCCGAGUCUUUGGACUCCUUCCCUGCCUUCUCUUUCAUUUUCACGUCUUUGGAGUCCUUCCCUGCCUCAUGUUUCAAUUCCACGUCUUUGGAGUCCUUCCCUGCCUUCUCUUUCACUUCCAGAUCUUUGGAUUCUUUCCCUGCCUUCUCUUUCAUUUUUGCAUAUUUGGAUUCCUUCCCUGUCUUCUCUUUCAUUUCCACAUCUUUGGACUCCUUCCCUGCCUUCUCUUUCAUAUUCACGUCUUUGGAGUGCUUCCCUGCCUCCUCUUCCAUUUCCACGUCCUUGGAGUCUUUCUCUGCCUUGUCUUUCGUUUCCACGUCUUUGGAGUCCUUCCCUGUCUUCUCUUUCACUUCCGCAUCUUUGGAUUCUUUCCCUGCCUUUUCUUUGAUUUUUACAUCUUUGGACUCCUUCCCUAUCUUCUCUUUCAUUUCCACGUCUUUGGACUCCUUCCCAGCCUUCUCUUUUAUUUUCACGUCUUUGGAGUCCUUCCCUCCCUUCUCUUUCAUUUCCAUGCCUUUGGAGUCCUUCCU